UACGUAGGGGGCGAGCGUUAUCCGGAAUUAUUGGGCGUAAAGAGUGCGUAGGUGGCUCUUUAAGCGCAGGGUUUAAGGCUACGGCUUAACUGUAGUUCGCCCUGCGAACUGAGGGGCUUGAGUGCAGGAGGGGAAAGCGGAAUUCCUAGUGUAGCGGUGAAAUGCGUAGAUAUUAGGAGGAACACCAGUGGCGAAGGCGGCUUUCUGGACUGAAACUGACACUGAGGCACGAAAGCGUGGGGAGC
rnacentral:rRNA from 1 species